AGAGUUUGAUCAUGGCUCAGGAUGAACGGCUGGCGGCGUGCCUAAUACAUGCAAGUCGAUCGCACUACUUCGGUAGUGAGAGGCGAACGGGUGAGUAACACGUAGGUAACAUAUCUAUAUGACGAGGAUAACGGUUGGAAACGACUGCUAAGACUGGAUAGGAGUAGAGGAGGCAUCUCUUUUACUUUAAAGGACUUUUUCGGAGUACGCGUAUGGAGUGACCUGCGGCGCAUUAGUUAGUUGGUGGGGUAGUGGCCUACCAAGACGAUGAUGCGUAGCCGGACUGAGAGGUUGAACGGCCACAUUGGGACUGAGACACGGCCCAGACUCCUACGGGAGGCAGCAGUAGGGAAUUUUCGGCAAUGGGGGGAACCCUGACCGAGCAACGCCCGCGUGAAUGACGAAGUACUUCGGUAUGUGAAGUUCUUUUAUUAAGGAAGAAAGUGCAGUGGAAAAACUGUAUAGACGGUACUUAUUGAAUAAGCCCCGGCUAACUAUGUGCCAGCAGCCGC
rnacentral:rRNA from 1 species